rnacentral:sRNA from 1 species
CAAUAAUAUAAUAUAUAAUAAUAAUAAUCGUAUAAAAACCCUAUUAGAAAUAUCAAGUGUUCCUUCAGAGCCGGGAGUAAUUUUUUCCAUUAUGACCAACAACAAAUCAGUAGCUGCCAAAUCGAGCUGACCUACCAGAGUUGCCAUAUCAUCUGCUGCCGAAUUGGAGAUCACAAAGAAAGCACCUCAUAUAACUAAUCGGUAAAGCCGGUGGAGUAAUAGCAGAGCUGACGAAUAGAUCAUCAAACAAAGAUGAUAGCAACGGACCAUUUAAAGGGCUCCUUGGAUUUUCUCUGGAUAUGUGAGCUAGCCAAAAAGAAAUAGAUUGCUUAAGGCACUUGGAGCUGCAUCAAAGCACAACGCCUCGCCAAAAAAGGACGAGGGAUUGCAGCCGUUGGUUUCGGAUUUGACGCUUUUAAAUGUAAUCUAACUAAACCUUACUACAAUAAUAUUUACCAUGUGCUCAAUUAUCAUCAAUUGCCGUUGUUUUAUCCGAUUUGAAAUGCGACUUAUUUGAAAACAAAUUUGUAAAGUAUGUGAAGCACAGCUAAUUAAACAAAAAUUGGAUUGUCAAAUCCCAUCUCUAAAAAUAAUUUUGAAU